rfam:Glycine soja cultivar W05 scaffold2311_40, whole genome shotgun sequence.
CACAAAUCAAGGUAUUGGCGCGCCUCAAUUUGAAGUCAUGGUUAACAUGAAACAAGCCAUGUAGUUUUAAUUGAGCCGCGUCAAUAUCUCAUCUUGCACU